UACGAAGGGGGCUAGCGUUGCUCGGAAUCACUGGGCGUAAAGCGCACGUAGGCGGGUCGUUAAGUCGGGGGUGAAAUCCUGGAGCUCAACUCCAGAACUGCCUUCGAUACUGGCGAUCUUGGAGUCCGGGAGAGGUGAGUGGAACUGCGAGUGUAGAGGUGAAAUUCGUAGAUAUUCGCAAGAACACCAGUGGCGAAGGCGGCUCACUGGCCCGGAACUGACGCUGAGGUGCGAAAGCGUGGGGAGCAAACAGG
rnacentral:rRNA from 1 species